GGAUUAAUAAAAAUAGUUUAGUUGAGCAAUAAUAUUGAAUGAAGCUGUCGCCUGUGGUUAGUCAUUGUGAGAAAGGGUGAAAUCUGAUAUUGGAAGGUGGCUGAUCGGGGUUGAGCGGAGGAUGUAGAGGUGUUAAUUUCGCGGUAUAAACCAGAAUUAGAUACUCUGUUAUACGUGAAGGAGAGGUUAUUUAUAGGGGCUUGAGUAGUAAACAGUUAUGGGCUUGAAAUUCAAAGAAUUUGGCGGUAUCUAAGUCCAGUUAGAGGAGCUUGUGCUGUAAACGAUAAACCACGAAUAUUUUUCCUUGUUUUGUAGUGUCAGUUUGUAUACCGCCAUUAUUAGAUAAACUCUUGAGGGAGUUGUUGAUAUAAGAUUAAUUUUAAUAUAUUAGGUCAAGGUGCAGUUUAUAGCAAGGGUUGUCAUGGGCUACAAUCUAAUUUAUAGAUAACGAAUAUAAGAUCUGGAAUUAGUUUUUUGAAGGAGGAUUUAAUAGUAAGUUGAAUAGAUUAUAUUCAAUUGAUAGGGGCUCUUGGAUAUGUACACAUCGCCCGUCGUUCUCAUUAU
rnacentral:rRNA from 1 species